CCGCCAUUACAGGCUGGGCCUCUACCAUGGUAGUGAAUGUCCCAUAGUGGGGAAAACACCGCCAUUACAGGCUGGGCCUCUACCAUGGUAGUGAAUGUCCCAUAGUGGGGAAAACACCGCCAUUACAGGCUGGGCCUCUACCAUGGUAGUGAAUGUCCCAUAGUGGGGAAAACACCGCCAUUACAGGCUGGGCCUCUACCAUGGUAGUGAAUGUCCCAUAGUGGGGAAAACACCGCCAUUACAGGCUGGGCCUCUACCAUGGUAGUGAAUGUCCCAUAGUGGGGAAAACACCGCCAUUACAGGCUGGGCCCCUACCAUGGUAGUGAAUGUCCCAUAGUGAGGAAAACAUCGCCAUCAUACAUUGGGCCCCUACCAUGGUAGUGAAUGUCCCAUAGUGGGGAAAGCAUCGCCAUUAUAGGCUGAACCCCUACCAUGGUAGUGAAUGUCCCAUAGUGGGGAAAACAUCGCCAUUAUAGGCUGGGCCCCUACCAUGGUAGUGAAUGUCCCAUUGUGGGGAAAACAUCGCCAUCAUACAUGGGGCCCCUACCAUGGUAGUGAAUAUCCAAUAGUGGGGAAAACAUCGCCAUUGUAGGCUGAGCCCCUACCAUGGUAGUGAAUGUCCCAUAGUGGGGAAAGCAUUGCCAUUAUAGGCUGAGCCCCUACCAUGGUAGUGAAUGUCCCAUAGUGGGGAAAACAUCGCCAUCAUACCAUGGGCCCCUACCAUGGUGAAUGUCCCAUAGUGGGGAAAACAUCGCCAUCAUACAUGGGGCCCCUACCAUGGUAGUGAAUGUCCUAUGGUGGGGAAACAUCGCUAUCAUACAUGGGGCCCUUACCAUGGUAGUGAAUAUCCAAUAGUGGUAACACAUGUUGCAACCAUACACUGUCCCCUACCAUGGUAGUGAAUAUCCAAUAGUGGUAACACAUGUUGCAACCAUACACUGUCCCCUACUAUGGUAGUGAAUAUCCAAUAGUGGUAACACAUGUUGCAACCAUACACUGUCCCCUACCAUGGUAGGGAAUAUCCCAUAUUAGUGUUACCAUAUUUGCUACCAUUUUUUAUCAUAAUGCAAAUUCAUAUCUUUUGCCUCCAUUUUUAUAGAAAAAAAUUAUUCAAAUGUUUUUAAAGAAACAAAACAGAUAAAGUAAGAAGUUUAUGGUUGAUAUUUUUUGCAAAAAGAUUUGAAAAUUGCUAUUGCAAUAUGUCUGGUUUUGGGAAAGGCUGUAACUUGGCAAUAAAUCUGGUAUCAUGACAUGGGUGCAAACAGUGUUGGUUUUGAGACAUUUCGUUGUGUUAGUCGCUGCCUGUAUGAUGCCCACUCUGUUAUGGAGAAGGAUGUUUGUUCAGCAGAACCACAUUUCUCUGGAAGUUUCUAUCAACUCAUGCACCCUGAUUCAUCAGUUGUACUACCUGAACAAAAAUUCAUCUUAUUGAUCUAACCUUAAAAACUUCAUGAGUCUUAAUUUUGUUAAUCAGAUGCCAUGUUUACAUUUUUAGCAUUUAGCCAUUCGAGUGUAACAAGGAAGAAAUAACGGAUGAAAUGAGAAGUUGUAAUUAGAAACAGUUUCAGUGAUAAGAUGGUUCUCUCUGUAUACUGAUGUAAAUCCUUAACAUCAGGAUGCGGUGGCAAAUGGUUUCCUCCCCCCCCCUGUGUUACUCUUGUACCUCACAUUUUGUAUUUACUGAGUUUAACACUGUUGUCUUUUAUUGUGUUUUUCUGGUUGAGCAAGUGUACACAGUCCAGUGCCCUCUGCCUGUAUGUUGAAGGCCUGAUGAAAGUUUAGGGUUUAGGGGUAAGGAAUGGGAUCACUUGUUGAAGGGUUGGGAUCACUUGUUGAAGGGUUGGGAUCACUUGUUGAAGGGUUGGGAUCACUUGUUCAAGGGUUGGGUUGAAGGAUGCCGGUUUAAGGGUUAGAUUGAGGUUGGUCUGUUCAAGGGCUAGUAGGGUAGAGAGCUGGGCUGGAGAGACAAAUGUUGAAGGGUUAAAAGCAGCUAUUGAAGGAUGAAGGGCAUCUAUUAAAGGGUUUAGGGUUGAAGGUUUUUCUUGGGGAGAGCCCAUUGAAGAGGUAAGGGUUGAGAGACCAUGUUGAGGUUAUGUAAAUAGAGUGUAUUCAAGGGUUGAAAAUUAGGUUCAGUGUUCAAAAUAAGCACUAACCCAUAGGCCUGUGACAGGUAGAUUCGUAUCAGGCCAAGAGAUUCAAAUUUGUCUGGGCCCUUAUGGCAUGCAGUAAAUGUAAGUGUCGAUUUGUUUGUCACAAUAAGCUGCUUUGUUGUUAGAUUAAAGCAUAAGGAAUUUAGUCACAGCCUACAACUUCGACUGUCUGGGGGGUCUGAUAGUGGCAUGGCAAUGGUUUUGUUUUCAAACACUGUUUAGGUUUGGGAGGGUCCAUUGAAGGGUUAGGUUUGGGAGGGUCCAUUGAAGGGUUAGGUUUAGGAGGGCCCAUUGAAGGGUUAGGUUUGGGAGGGCCCAUUGAAGGGUUAGGUUUGGGAGGGCCCAUUGAAGGGUUAGGUUUGGGAGGGCCCAUUGAAGGGUUAGGUUUGGGAGGGUCCAUUGAAGGGUAAGGUUUGGGAGGGUCCAUUGAAGGGUUAGGUUUAGGAGGGCCCAUUGAAGGCUUUUGUUGGGAGGGCUCAUGGAGACCAGUGCCCAUGGUUGGAGAUACAGGCAACUGCCACAUCAACUACCUCAUGUUCUGGCAGAUGGAGAGGCACUGGACAGCACUGGCUCUGAUUAUUUCAGUAUACCUCAAUAUAUCACCGAAUGUACUUGUCCUCGUAUACCACAGAUGGUGAGCCUCCUUUAUUUGUCCCAUAUUGUAUGUAUUUCAUGUAUGACUUGCAUUUUAUGUUAAUCUCAGUUAUUGUAUUGUUAUUGCCUUGAGCACUGUGUGCAGGCUAGUACAAGACCUACACUAUUUGUAGUAGUUUUAGAUAAUGGAUUAACUCCUCAGGAAAACUGUCCUUUCUCUACACUGUAUAGCUUCACCCAAACUGGAAAUAUUAUCUCCUGCAUUGCUUGUACAUUUGGCAUAUCGAAGGAAAAUCAAAGACAAUAUGAAAUUCUGAUAUUUAGUUCCACAGUUAGUAACAGUUCCACCUGAUAAUGAUGACUGUUUGGGCAUUAGGAACUGAGACUAGAUUUGUUUACCUCCAACUCUGUUGCUUAAUCUGUCAUACUUAACAUUCUAUAGAUUCCCAGGCAGCUAUUGUAGGACUUCACAGCCACUCUCAGGCCCCUCUGUUUGGGCGCUGAUCGUUGGCUGCAUAGUUAUCACACACAGUUAUCACACACUCAGUACAUGCAGGUGUGACACAUGUAUACACACGUUGACUCAGGUCCUGUUAUCCCACACACGAGUUCACUCAGGUCCUGUUAUCACACACACGAGUUUACUCAGGUCCUGUUAUCACACACGAGUUCACUCAGGUCCUGUUAUCACACACACGAGUUUACUCAGGUCCUGUUAUCACACACACGAGUUUACUCAGGUCCUGUUAUCACACACACGAGUUCACUCAGGUCCUGUUAUCACACACACUAUUUCACCUAGCAACAGUUGUCACACACACUAGUUCGUCCAGCAACAGUUUUCACACACACUAGUUCAACACAUCAAGCAUCAUAAUGACAAACGAAACAUGACACAGCUGGUUCCAAAGAAUGAACAUAAGAACCCAAGACACGUCCAUAACACAUCAGGGACGGUGGGGUAGCCCAGUGGUUAAAGCAUUCGCUCGUCAUGCCGAUUCCCCGCAUGGGUGCAAUGUGUGAAGCCCAUUUCUGGUGUCCCCCGCCAUGAUAUUGCUGGAAUAUUGCUAAAAGCGACAUAAAAGUAAACUCUACAACACCACAAGGUGACACCAUCAUAUGUCCAUGCUUUCAACAUCACCCAACCAUAUGUCCAUGCUUUCAACAUCACACCACCAUAUGUCCAUGCACACGACAUCACACCACCAUAUGUCCAUACACACAAUGAUACACCCCGAUAUGUCCAUGCACACGAUGAUACGACACGAUAUGUCCAUGCACACGAUGAUACACCACCAUAUGUCCAUGCACACGAUGAUACACCAUGGUAUGUCCAUGCACACGAUGAUACACCACGAUGAUACACCACGAUGAUACACCACGAUAUGUCCAUGCACACGAUGAUACACCACGAUAUGUCCAUGCACACGAUGAUACACCACGAUAUGUCCAUGCACACGAUGAUACACCACCAUAUGUCCAUGCACACAUCACACCACGAUAUGUCCAUGCACAC